rnacentral:lncRNA from 1 species
GUGUCUGUCAGCCAGUUUCCCAGCCCCUGGUGCACUGAAGCUCAGGCCUUUCCUGGCAUCCUGGCCUCCUGCACUGAGCUGUGUGAGUGCUUCUGCCCAGGCAGGCCACUUGGCAUUGACCGGUAUAGAUGGUGACCCUGAAGAAAGACUUCAGUUGGGCCUGAAGGCCCCGGGCCAGUGUCCAUCAUCCAGGUGCUCAGCUCCCAGUGCACUGAAGCUCAGACCCUUCCUGGUUCCCUGGUCUCUUGCACUGAGCUCUGAUGGUGAGACUUGAGGAAGACUUCCACUGGGCCUGCUUUUCCUGAGCCAGUGCCCAUCACCCAGGUGCUCAGUCCCUGGUGCACUGAAGCUCCAGCCCUUCCUGGCGCCCUGGUCUCCUGAACUGAGCUGUGUGAGCUCUUCUGCCAAGCGGUUCCCCUGGCAUUGACCAACAUAGAUGGUGAGCCUGGAGGAAGACUUGCGUUGGGCCCAAAGGCCCUAGACCAGUGUCUGUCAGCCAGGUUCCCAACCCCCGAUGCGCUGAAGCUCAAGCCUUUCCUGGCACCCUGGUCUCCUGCACUGAGCUGUGUGAGCUCUUCUGCCCAGGCGGGCCCCCUGGAAUUGAUGGGUAUAGAUGGUGACCCCGGAGGAAAAUUUGUGUUGGGCCCACUAUCCCUGGGCCAAUGUCAGUCAGCUAGGCACCCAGCCCCCAGUGCGCUGAAGCUCAGGACCUUCCUAGUGCCCUCGGCUCCUGCACUGAGCUCUGAUGGUAAGCCUGGAGGAAGACUUGUGUUGGGCCCACAGGCCCCAGGCCAAUGUCUGUCAGCCAGGUGCUCAGCCUCUGGUGCGCUGAAACUCUGACCCUUCCUGGCACACUGGUCUCCUGCACUGAGCUGGGAUUUUCCACCUAGGAGGUCCACCUGGCAUUGACUGACAUAGAUGGUGAGACUUCUGUCGGCCUCGCUUUUCCUGGGCCAGUGUCCAUCAGCCAGGUGCUCAGCCCCAGUGCACUGAAGCUCCAGCCCUUCCUGGCGCCCUGGACUGAGCUGUGUGAGCUCUUCUGCCAAGGGGGUCCUCCUGGCAUUGACCAACAUAGGUGGUGAGCCUGGAGGAAGACUUGCAUUGGGCCCAAUGGCCCUGGACCAGUGUCUGUCAGCCAGGUUCCCAGCCCCCGAUGCGCUGAAGCUCAAGCCUUUCCUGGCACCCUGGUCUCCUGCACUGAGCUGUGUGAGCUCUUCGGCCCAAGUGGUCCCCCCGGCCUUAAGCGGCAUAGUGAGCUCUUCCAAACAGGUGGGCUCCCUAGCAUUGACCGACAGAGUGAGCUCUGCCACCCAGGACAUCCCCCUGGCAUUGACUGGCAUAGAUGCUGACCCUGGAGGAAGACUUGUGUCGGGCCCCCAGGCCCCAGGCCAGUGUCCAUCAGCCAGGUGCUCAGCUCCCAGUGCGCUGAAGCUCAGACCCUUCCUGGCACCCUGGUGUCCAGCACUGAGCUGUGUGAGCUUUUCCACCCAGGUGGGCCCCCUGGCAUUGACCGACAUAGAUGAUGAGACUGGAGGAAGACUUCCAUUGGGCCCACUUUUCCUGGGCCAGUGUCCAUCAGCCAGGUGCUCAGCCCCUGGUGUACUGAAGCUCCAGCCUUUCCUGGUGCCCCAGUCUUCUGCACUAAGCUGUGUGAGCUCUUCCACCCAGGAGGGCCCCUUGGCAUUGACUGGCAUAGAUGGUGAGACGGGAGGAAGACUUGUGUUGGGCCUGCUGUUCCUGGGCCAGUGGCCAUCAGCCUGUUGCCCAGCCCCUGAGGCGCUGAAGCUCAGGCCCUUCCUCACACCCUGGUCUCCUGCACUAGCUGUGUGAGCUCUUCUGCCCAGGUGGGGCCCAUGGCCUUACACGACAUAGGAGCACGCAUUUCUUGAAGUCCUGCAAAGGUGAUGGUGGUCCAGACAGGAGAGGGUUCCUUCAGCCCAACAUAGCGCAGCUCCCAGCUGAAACUCGGAAGGCUGGUCAGGCCUCGAGGACUGCCCAGGCCACAUGAGGGUUUGGUGGCCGGGAGGGCCAAUGAUGCUCUGCGUCUGUGUUGGAUCAGUGUUCUUCAUGGAUUCCAUCACAUGGUGAGCCUUGAGGAAGACUUGUAUUGGGCCCCCACAGGCCCCAGGCCAGUGUCCGUCAGCCUGGUGCUCACCCCCAGUGUGCUGAAGCUCAGACCCUCCGUGGCACCCUGGUCUCCUGCACUGAGCUGUGUGAACUUUUCCUCCCAGAUGGGCCCCCUGGCAUUGACUGGCAUAGAUGGUGAGACCGGAGGAAGACUUGCAUUGGGCCUGUUGUUCCUGGGCCAGUGGCCAUCAGCCUGUUGCCCAGCCCCUGAUGCGCUGAAGCUCGGGCCCUUCCUCGCGCCCUGGUCUCCUGCACUGAGCUGUGUGAGCUCUUCUGCCCAGGUGAGGCCCAUGGCCUUAAGCGGCAUAGAUGGUGAGCCUGGAGGAAGACUUGUAUUGGGACCCUACAGGCCCCAGGCCAGUGUCUGUCAGCCUGGUGCUCAUCCCCCAGUGCGCUGAAGCUCAGACCCUCCCUGGCACCCUGGUCUCCUGCACUGAGCUGUGAUGGUGAGUCUGGAGGAAGACUUGUGUUGGACCCCCACAGGCCCCAGGCCAGUGUCCAUCAGCCUGGUGCUAAUCCCCCAGUGCUCUGGAGUUUGGACCCUCCCUGGCACCCUGGUCUCCUGCACUGAGCUGUGUGAGCUCUUCCACCCGGGCGGGCCCCCGGCAUUGACUGGCAUAGGUGGUGAGCCCGGAGGAGGACUUGCGUUCGGCCCGCUGGUCCCAGUGUGUCCGGAAUUGGUGGGUUCUUGGUCUCACUGACUUCAAGAAUGAAGCUGCGGACCCUCGCUAUGAUGAUAUGGAAGAAAAGCACUCUUUGGCCUGUUGUGACUGGGACAGUUGACAGCACCCAGGUGUCCUUUAAUGAAAAUGCUCUUGACACCAAUGCAUCCUAGCAUCACAGCUUCAGGAAGCCUUCUCAAGUGUGCAUGGGGAGUACUAUGUCUUUCAUCAAUAAUGAAAUCUUCUGAUUUGUAAGACAUGCUGCCAAGAGAUGUGCCAUUCUAUUAUAAAAGAUCAGUAGCUUCCUUUACCGACGUGUAUAUUCUAUCUAGAACAUUGAGCUAUGGAAGACUCCCACCUAAGGGAAUUAGUUUUACACCUUCAGAUAAAGACUGCUGAGAAGAGCACCCUCUGGUGUUGUCACAGAGGCAAGUGCUACCGCACAGGCAUGCUGCAGUGAAUUUAACUGAUCCUCUGUCCCUGCAACCGUUGUUUAAGGAUGCUAUUCUGAAAAGACUGUGGAGGAAGAAAACCCUUUACCCUGUUGUUCAGGGAGAAACUGACACCACUCAACUGCCUGGCACUGAAAAUGUGGCAUCCAGUCCACUUUACCAUCAGUGUUUAAGGAAACCAUCUCUGAUAAGGAUGACUGAGGAAGAGUACUCUUUGGCUUGUUGACACCAGCACAGCUGACACACCCAGAUAUCUGUUUGGUCUCCUGUGAACUUUCAACCAGGAUUUAAGGAUGCCACUCUGGUUAAAAGCUGAAACAACUUCAAGGAAACUUCAGGGAAAAGAGAAGGCCUGGAAUCUGAUCCUCCACUUCAGAGAACAGGGAUCACUUGAACUGGCACAUGUCUCUUGUUUUGCAGAGAGGGAAUUAAUGUGAUACCUUCAUGCUUUUCUAUUCUAUGUGCUACAUAAUUGAAUAUACAAGCAAAUAU